GGACAGAAAGGCCAGCGAUGAGGUCAGGAGCCGACGCAGAGCUGUGAUGCUGAGCCGGCGGGAGGAAGGAGCAGCACUGCAGGGUCAGGCGGCGCUCUCCCGCCUCUGCGCCCUGUCCUCCCUGCCUGUUUCCCCUUGCCUUGCUGCCCGAGCUGAAUGAGGGGAGAAUGAAGAAUUACCUUCUGGAGCAGAAAAAUAAAACAUAAAGUUGAAAAAAGUUACUGUUGGAAAUGUGUGCAGACUAUUAUUAUCAAUAAUACACCAUCCGGAUAUACUACUUUUUAGAAGAUUUGGACAAGCCCUUCGGUCUGGCAGCAUCAUCUGAAUCUUCAGUUUUUCUGAACAUACCUUGACCUCUGUACUAACGCGUCUCAUGAGG